GAUGAACGCUGGCGGCGUGCUUAACACAUGCAAGUCGAACGGUGAAGCAGAGCUUGCUCUGUGGAUCAGUGGCGAACGGGUGAGUAACACGUGAGCAACCUGCCCUGGACUCUGGGAUAAGCGCUGGAAACGGCGUCUAAUACUGGAUACGAGACGUGGCCGCAUGGUCAACGUUUGGAAAGAUUUUUUGGUUCAGGAUGGGCUCGCGGCCUAUCAGCUUGUUGGUGAGGUAAUGGCUCACCAAGGCGUCGACGGGUAGCCGGCCUGAGAGGGUGACCGGCCACACUGGGACUGAGACUCGGCGCAGACUCCUACGGGAGGCAGCAGUGGGGAAUAUUGCACAAUGGGCGAAAGCCUGAUGCAGCAACGCCGCGUGAGGGAUGACGGCCUUCGGGUUGUAAACCUCUUUUAGCAAGGAAGAAGCGAAAGUGACGGUACUUGCAGAAAAAGCGCCGGCUAACUACGUGCCAGCAGCCGCAGUAAUAC
rnacentral:rRNA from 1 species